GACGAACGCUGGCGGCGUGCUUAACACAUGCAAGUCGAACGGCAAGGCCCUGCUUUUGUGGUCUUCUCGAGUGGCGAACGGGUGAGUAACACGUGUGUAACCUGCCCUUCACUUUGGUAUAACUUCAGGAAACUGGGGCUAAUACCGGAUAGGAUCUCCUGCUGCAUGGUGGGGGUUGGAAAGUUUCGGCGGGUGGGGUUGGACGGGCGGCUUAUGAGCUUGUUGGUGGGGUAGUGGCUUACCCAGGCUUUGACGGGUAGCCGGCCUGAGAGGGUGACCGGGGACAUGGGGACUGAGAUACGGAGCAGAGUGGUACGGGAGGCAGCAGGGGGGAAUAUGGCACAAUGGGAGGGAGCCUGAGGCAGCAACGCCGGGUGUGGGAUGACGGCCUGCGGGGUGUAAACAGCUUUCGCCUGUGACGAAGCGUGAGUGACGGUAAUGGGUAAAGAAGCACCGGCUAACUACGUG
rnacentral:rRNA from 1 species